ensembl:lncRNA
GGGGUUUCGAAUCACAGUGAUAGGGUCAGAUUGGAUGGUAGGGUCAGAUGGGGUGACAUGGAGUUACGGAUCACAUGGGUGGUAUGGUCGGGGUGAGGUGGGGGCAGGAAUCCCAGAGUUAUGGGCCACAUGGUGUCGGGUCAUAGCGUGAUGGGGGCAGGCAUAGUCAGGGAGUCACAGGAUCAUGUGGGGAUAUGGUUCCCCCAGGGCUCUGGGUCACGUGCAGCCAUGGGGUCACGCACAUAGAGGGCGAUGAGGUCAUCUUGGUUUAUGGCUCAUGUGGGGUUACGGCUCAGGGCCCCACCUUUGGGCCACAGGGACGCCCAGUCCCCUCUCAGGAUGAAAUGAAACCACUGCAAACUCUGCCCCCUUCCUCUUUUUACCUCAAACCACUCCCCACAUCCUCCCAUACUCUCUAUGUCCCCAUACUACCCCAUGCAUCUGUGUCCCACCUGCAGCCCACG